rnacentral:lncRNA from 1 species
ACCGGGGGUCAAAACGCAAUUUAGAAAAAUUGUGCCCCGUCAGCGCCACGUCAGCAGCUCAGUCAGUAGCCCUGGCCAACCAGGACCUGCCGCGUGGCAAGACCACAUCGACCGGGGAACGAGCCACGUGAGCGAUCCGCGUGCGCGCGAUCGGACGGCCCAGAUGCGUCCCCGCGCGCACGGACGGCCCAGAUGCAAUCGCACGGACGGCCCAGAUGCACGUGCACGGACGGUCCAGAUUCAAUCAAGAACGAACGGUCCAGAUUUAACCAAAAUGGACGGCUGUGAUCAAAAGGCAAAAGGGUAUAAAU